GCUGGGGUGGCGAAAUUGGCAGACGCACUAGCCUUAGGAGCUAGCGGGAGUAAUCCCAUGGGAGUUCAACUCUCCCCCCCAGCA
rfam:Candidatus Ryanbacteria bacterium RIFCSPLOWO2_02_FTLL_45_11c rifcsplowo2_02_scaffold_30199, whole genome shotgun sequence.